GACGAACGCUGGCGGCGUGUUUAACACAUGCAAGUCAGGGGGCCCGCAAGGGUCACCGGCGAACGGGUGCGUAACACGUGAACAACCUGCCCGAGCGAGGGGGAUAGCCGGCCCAACGGCCGGGUAAUACCGCAUAUGCUCACAGCGUCAUAAGGCGCAGUGAGGAAACCUUCGGGGCGCUCGGAGGGGUUCGCGACCUAUCAGCUAGUUGGUGGGGUAAUGGCCCACCAAGGCGACGACGGGUAGCUGGUCUGAGAGGAUGGCCAGCCACAUUGGGACUGCGACACGGCCCAGACUCCUACGGGAGGCAGCAGUGGGGAAUAUUGCUCAAUGGGCGCAAGCCUGAAGCAGCGACGCCGCGUGAGGGAUGACGGCCUUCGGGUUGUAAACCUCUUUCAGCAGGGACGAAGCGCAAGUGACGGUACCUGCAGAAGAAGCACCGGCCAACUACGUGCCAGCAGCCGCGGUAAUACGUAGGGUGCGAGCGUUGUCCGGAAUUAUUGGGCGUAAAGAGCUCGUAGGCGGUUUGUCACGUCGGCUGUGAAAACUCGGGGCUCAACCCCGAGCCUGCAGCCGAUACGGGCAGACUAGAGUUCGGCAGGGGAGACUGGAAUUCCUGGU
rnacentral:rRNA from 1 species